rnacentral:rRNA from 1 species
UCUUUUGCUGGACAAAACUCCGAGAGAAGGUAGCAGCUUAGGCUGUGUUAUAGCUCUGGAGCGAUACAGUGAAGGGGACUGAGGUUUUCGCAGCGUGUGCUCUCGGGCAAGGCUGGAUGGGUGCUAUGGGAUCGUUCGGGGUACAAUGCCUGGCAUUUUGCUUCGUGUCUUUUCUAUACUCGCUCAACUCAGCUCUUCCACGCUUAGGAUGUUGACUUAAUGGUUUUAAACGACCCGUCUUGAAACACGG